rnacentral:ncRNA from 1 species
UAAAGCCGUGUGCAAUGAAAAAUGAAGCACGGCUUGGGAAGAGAUUUUUUUACUUUUUUUUUCUCAAGUAAAUUAUCGACUUCAU